rfam:Cucumis sativus cultivar 9930 chromosome 2, whole genome shotgun sequence.
ACCAAUUCUGGGGGAUUUAUAGUUCCUCUUGGCAUAAUGGCUCGGACGCAAUAGCAUUAAUGUGGCCAUCCUGAUUGAUGGUUAGCCUCAAUCCCAUUUAAUCCUGGAAACACCACAAACAUUU